rnacentral:tmRNA from 1 species
GGGGGCGUAAAGGUUUCGACGGGGAUCUUGAGGCCGGUUAAGCGAGCAGAGGCGCCUGACCUCUAUAAAAUGGGCAAACCUUAAAACAAACGACAAUUCUAAUUUGUCUUACGCUGCCUGAUUAGGCGGCCGUCUUUACCGGGAGGGCCACGACCCGGAUAAAGGCGUGGAUGAGUGGCGAACGUGAGUACGGUAAGCUUUGCCCGUGCCAUGCAUCAUGAAGCUACUAAGGACGAGAGACUGGCGGCUGCCGCUCGUCUGAGGGAAUGCAAAUAACCGCCUGCGCUCGGAGAAAAACCGGAGGAUGGGUUUUCGGACAGGGGUUCGAUUCCCCUCGCCUCCACCA